UCUUUGUGCAGGAAAACUUCGCGCGUUUUUUUUUUGAAUUUCGUUCUAUUUGAAUUUGUCACAUGAUAUCGGUCGAUCAAUGAGGUAAUACCAUCCGCGUUUUCUUUUCCGCCAUUACCGAUCGUGACAUUCCAGUAGUAUUCGUGGCGCAAUAGUUUCUUCGUGUCAGUUUUGUAAAAUUUUUUCGAACGUCGCUCGUCGAUUAUGGAUAUCUGAUUCAAUCUCCUUCGUUUCUUGUUCGGCGAAAAGGUUUGCGGGCGCACGACACACACACAUGGUUGCCAUAAUGCAGUUAUCCAGAAAGAGAGCAACGAAAUUAAGUUUACCGCCAUUCGUAGGGUUUGUCAGGAUAGCAAUGUGAUGGAGUAAGGAGAAACAAGUCCGUCGAGUAAGAUUGCUGAGAACAGUGAAAGAUGAAUAGAAUCGUUACACUGCGUGCGCUUUCAACUAAUGCCACCCAGUCGUUACGACAGGCAAGAAGAGCUACUUGUGAAAAAUGGAUUUCGAUAAAAACUUAACAAUACCGCUCCAUUUUCGGCUUUCUGCAUUUGUUAUUUUAAGCACGCUAGGAAGCUGAUAUUCAUAGUUGGUUUUUAUAUUUAUAUGAUCAUGAACUAAUC